CCUACGGGAGGCUGCAGUGAGGAAUAUUGGUCAAUGGGCGGAAGCCUGAACCAGCCAAGUAGCGUGCAGGAUGACGGCCCUACGGGUUGUAAACUGCUUUUAUACGGGAAUAACGCGCCUUACGUGUAGGCCUUUGCAUGUACCGUAUGAAUAAGGACCGGCUAAUUCCGUGCCAGCAGCCGCGGUAAUACGGAAGGUCCGGGCGUUAGUCGGAUUUAUUGGGUUUAAAGGGAGCGUAGGCCGCAUGUCAAGCGUGCUGUGAAAUGUCCGGGCUCAACCCGGGCCUUGCAGCGCGAACUGGCGUGCUUGAGUCCGCGGAAAGCAGGCGGAAUUCGUCGUGUAGCGGUGAAAUGCUUAGAUAUGACGAAGAACCCCGAUUGCGAAGGCAGCUUGCUGCAGCGGAACUGACGCUGAUGCUCGAAAGCGCGGGUAUCGAACAGGAGUAGAUACCCGAGUAGUC
rnacentral:rRNA from 1 species